GACGAACGCUGGCGGCGUGCUUAACACAUGCAAGUUGAACGGAAAGGCCCUGCUUUUGUGGGGCGCUCGAGUGGCGAACGGGUGAGUAACACGUGAGUAACCUGCCCUUGACUUUGGGAUAACUUCAGGAAACUGGGGCUAAUACCGGAUAGGAGCUCCUGCUGCAUGGUGGGGGUUGGAAAGUUUCGGCGGUUGGGGAUGGACUCGCGGCUUAUCAGCUUGUUGGUGGGGUAGUGGCUUACCAAGGCUUUGACGGGUAGCCGGCCUGAGAGGGUGACCGGCCACAUUGGGACUGAGAUACGGCCCAGACUCCUACGGGAGGCAGCAGUGGGGAAUAUUGCACAAUGGGCGGAAGCCUGAUGCAGCAACGCCGCGUGCGGGAUGACGGCCUUCGGGUUGUAAACCGCUUUCGCCUGUGACGAAGCGUGAGUGACGGUAAUGGGUAAAGAAGCACCGGCUAACUACGUGC
rnacentral:rRNA from 1 species